rnacentral:piRNA from 1 species
GAAGUUUGAUCACAUGAGCUGGG